rnacentral:lncRNA from 1 species
GACAAGACUUCUUUCUUAAGUUGCCAUGAGUGUUCAACUUCUCUGUUUAACAUGAAAGCUGUAAGGGGGACUUUUUAUUCUUUGGUCAGGUUUAGGACAGAGAAGAGCUUCUCUAUUUGUAGGAUUCAGGCUUCAGCUACUAAAGGAUUAGGGCCACCUUCAAAGUGUUGGGUGUUAAGUUUCUUAAACUCCACUAUAUUUUAGAAGAUUGACCGAUCUGUGUCUCAGAAUUUAGGGGCAAGAGGUGGACAAGGGUUGCCUUUGUUCUAUCCUACGACUACAAUUAAUCCUUAGAUGGCUCAGAAAAGUUUUACAAAUUUAACCUUAGUCGGAUGAUCCGGGGCUUUAAGUCGCUCAAUAUGCUCUACG